ACAUCAGUUCAAGAGAACAGCAAAUGCAAUAAUGACAAAGUAAAAGCAACAAUAAAUCACCACAAAGAAAAAACCCCCCAAACAGCCCCUAGAAACCAAAACGACUGUGGAACCCAGAUGAAUAAUCUUCCUGAAUUCUUCCUCACCACUACUGCAUGAAACUAGAUGAACAAACUCAGAGAGAAUCAGCUUUGAUAGCCUCCAAGGAGUACCAGAUAAACAUUCCCCAUUCCACAAAGCUAACUAUUGUUACCCAUAUCCCUAUGUAACCACUUAUGCCAGUCAGCAGCCACUAUUCGAUCUACCGCAGCCGGCGCUUCCUCUACCCAGUACAUUGGCUCCGAGAACCGACGUCCUUCACCCGCAAGGACAUGCGCCGCCAUGUUAGCGUCUCUUCUAACAAAUCGGAAGCUCGGAAACCCAUCUCUACCGCAAAUAUAACCUUCCUUUCACACGCUCGAGCCUCUGCUAUAAACGCGUCAGCUAUACCAAUAUGUAGGUAAGUGCAUGCUCCCAUUAUCUGGCCCGAGUCAUUUCUAGCUAUAGUCCCAGAAAUGGAACCUUUGCUUGCUGCAUGAAACGACGCAUCAAAGUUAAUCUGUAUGCUACCCAUUUCUGGAGGCCUCCAUAAUUCUUGUUUAGCAAUCAACAGUGGUUCCAUCUAGUUUUUAUUUUUAAAAA